GGGGUUGUGGCUCAUUGGUAGAGUGCUUGCCUAGCAUGCAUGAGGCAUUGGGUUCAAUCCUCAGCAACACAU
rnacentral:tRNA from 1 species